rnacentral:rRNA from 1 species
UACGUAGGGGGCAAGCGUUGUCCGGAAUCAUUGGGCGUAAAGCGCGUGUAGGCGGCCCGGUAAGUCCGCUGUGAAAGUCGGGGGCUCAACCCUCGAAUGCCGGUGGAUACUGUCGGGCUAGAGUGCGGGAGAGGCGAGUGGAAUUCCAGGUGUAGCGGUGAAAUGCGCAGAUAUCGGGAGGAACACCAAUGGCGAAGGCAGCUCGCUGGGACGGUACUGACGCUGAGGCGCGAAAGCGUGGGGAGCAAACAGG